rnacentral:lncRNA from 1 species
CACAAGCACUGGCUGAACUGUGCUCAAGGAGGAAGGGGGGCUGGAGCCUUAGGGUCUCAUUAAUACCUUCUCUGAGUCUCACUGUGUGGUGCCAAUACUCUUCUUCCGAGUGAGGGAUGGACCAUAACUCUGACCAUUUUUCUUUCCUUAGCUGACCUUGGGUCGAUGUGCUCCCCACUCUUAGUGACGCUUGUGUCAGUCGGUGCCCCUCAUUGUCUCUCCCUCUUCUUUAUCUUUGUGCUUCCUAUCGUGGUCCCUCUGUCCCCUGCAGAGCUGCUGGAUGACCAGCACCCUGUGGUCCGGCUGCUGCGUACUCUUUCCUCUGACUGCCCAAGGGGCUGGCCAGUCUCCUUGGAUGCCACGCUGGCGCACCACC